rnacentral:lncRNA from 1 species
UUUUUGUAGAGACAGGUCUCGCUAUGUUGCACUAGCUGGUCUCAAACUUCUGGACUCAAGCGAUCCACCUGCCUCAGCCUCUUAAGUGCUGGGAUUACACACUUUUCAAGCAUUUUCUCUGUACAAUAUUUUGUAAAAAUUGAGAAUAAGGAAAGACAUUGCCCCUUUAAGCAAGGUGGUAAGACAACAUAUAAAAAGUACUCAAUCCACAAUAGUGAGUGCUUCCAUUAAUUACAUUCUAAAGUUUUUUUGUUUAAAAUAAAUUGGGGGAGUACAUUAUGCUCUUCAAGAUAAUGAACGGAGAAAAAUGUCCAAUGAUUGCUAGCCAUCCCGAUAAUGUAUUUACUCUAUGUUGUGUUAUUUUGUUUUUGCAGUAGGACGCAAGUGAUCAGAAAGGAAAUCACAUAGUCAGUGACCAGCUGAGACUGAGUACGGACAGGGGAAGAAGCUAACUUAGACCUAAAGGGACCUGGGGUCAGGAGACAUUUCUAGAUAAGCCCCUCAGCCAGAAAACAUCAACCCAUGACUUCCAAUACCAAUGCUGAAGAGGCCACAGAGGAGAGAGAAUCUUGAAAACAUUUCUAAUAUCUGAAAGUUCUUGUAUUAAAAGAAGUGGAAAGUUUCUUGAUAUGUGUAUGAAGGCCAAGAUUGAGAUAGUGGUACUGAGGGUGGGAUAAUACCACAUUGAGGCUGGGAGUUUUACUUCUUUUAAAUCUUUCUGUAGGUAUAUCUCUGUGGAUUCCUACCACUUCUAAACCAUAGUUACAAGGCCA